UACAGAGGUCUCAAGCGUUGUUCGGAUUCAUUGGGCGUAAAGGGUGUGUAGGUGGCGCGCUAAGUCGGGUGUGAAAUUUCGGAGCUUAACUCCGAAACUGCAUUCGAUACUGGCGUGCUUGAGGACUGGAGAGGAGACUGGAAUGGUCGGUGUAGCGGUGAAAUGCGUAGAGAUCGACCAGAACACCGGUGGCGAAGGCGGGUCUCUGGACAGUUCCUGACGCUCAGGCACGAAAGCCAGGGGAGCAAACGGG
rnacentral:rRNA from 1 species